CCUACGGGGGGCAGCAGUGGGGAAUAUUGGACAAUGGGGGAAACCCUGAUCCAGCGACGCCGCGUGAGGGAAGAAGUAUUUCGGUACGUAAAGCCCUAUCAGUAGGAAAGAAAAUGACGGUAUCUGACUAAGAAGCCCCGGCUAACUACGUGCCAGCAGCCGCGGUAAUACGUAGGGGGCAAGCGUUAGCCGGAUUCACUGGGUGUAAAGGGAGCGUAGACGGGAGAGCAAGUCAGGGGUGAAAUGCUGGGGCUUAACCCCAGAACUGCAUUUGAAACUGUGAAUCUUGAGUGGAGGAGAGGUAGGCGGAAUUCCUGGUGUAGCGGUUAAAUCCGUAGAUAUCAGGAGGAACAC
rnacentral:rRNA from 1 species